GCGGUUCCGAGCGGUCACUCCCUCGCGAGGUGCCGCGGGUCAGCGGCUGACGCCAGCCACCUUCCCGACCCGUCUUGAAACACGGACCAAGGAGUCUAACAUGUGCGCGAGCCGCGGGGCAGUACGAAACCCGUAAGGCGAAAUGAAGGUGAACGCCGGCGCGGUCCGGCGGAGGUUGGAUCCCGUCCCGUCGGGGCGGGCGCACUACCGGCCGAUCUUCUCCGCCCUGUCGGCGAGGUCGAGCGAGAGCGUGCAAGUCGGGACCCGAAAGAUGGUGAACUAUGCCUGAGGAGGUUGAAGCCAGAGGAAACUCUGGUGGAGGACCGUAGCGAUUCUGACGUGCAAAUCGAUCGUCAAAUUUGGGUAUAGGGGCGAAAGACUAAUCGAACCGUCUAGUAGCUGGUUCCCUUCGAAGUUUCCCUCAGGAUAGCUGGCGCUCUGUCGCAGUUUUAUCUGGUAAAGCGAAUGAUUAGAGGUCUUGGGGGCGAAACGCCCUCAACCUAUUCUCAAACUUUAAAUUGGUAAGAAGCCCGACUCGCUCGUUUGGAGCCGGGCAUGGAAUGCGAGUGCCAAGUGGGCCACUCUUGGUAAGCAGGACUGGCGAUGCGGGAUGAACCGAACGCCGGGUUAAGGCGCCCGACGCGACGCUCAUC
rnacentral:ncRNA from 1 species